rnacentral:rRNA from 1 species
CAGUCGCCGCGGUAAUACGUAGGGUGCAAGCGUUAAUCGGAAUUACUGGGCGUAAAGCGUGCGCAGGCGGUCCGCUAAGACAGAUGUGAAAUCCCCGGGCUUAACCUGGGAACUGCAUUUGUGACUGGCGGGCUAGAGUAUGGCAGAGGGGGGUAGAAUUCCACGUGUAGCAGUGAAAUGCGUAGAGAUGUGGAGGAAUACCGAUGGCGAAGGCAGCCCCCUGGGCCAAUACUGACGCUCAUGCACGAAAGCGUGGGGAGCAAACAGGAUUAGAUACCCCUGUAGUCCCUGUCUCUUAUAU